rnacentral:rRNA from 1 species
AUGGAGGAGCAGAUUGCCGCACACGUCAAGUCCGUCAACGAGGGCCGCGCGGCCAACGAUGCGCGUCUGGAGGUGAUCCAGGCGUCUCUCGAGCUGUGGCAACCAUCGGUGAUGAAUCUUCAACACCAACUCGAUGAACUGCGCACGCAAGUGGGGCGGAUCGCUCUUCACCCCGCGCUGGCUGAUCCGAGCGGCGCAGAAGGGGAUCCGACGGUGGAUCCGGCGGUGCGUCCCGCGGCGGCACAUCCCAAGCCUGCCACGACGCACCAUGGGCCAAGUGGCCACAACGACAUCAUCGAAUUCGGGGGAUCGGCUCACAGGGUGGUCACCACCCUGGUGCCUCCUCCGGUCAAGGGUGUGUUAACUCUACCUCCCCUUGAACUUCCUACAUAUACAUCAGUAGGUGUCAUUCAGGAGCAAGAGCAGCACUCACCACACACGCCUCACUCUCCUCAUCACAGUUGGUCUCUUCCCCGGCUUGAUUUCCCAUCACUCGACGGGGACAAUCCUCAGUUUUGGAAGGCCAGAUGCAAAAAAUAUUUUGAGGUGUAUGGGAUUCAGCGAGACAUGUCUAGGAGGCACAUCGUGGUUCCUUUACUUGGGAGGAGUUAUGCGUCACCGUCUGUGCUAAAUUUUGCCGGGAACGGAGGAGCUCUUGGCAAGCAUGCCAUGGAAGGAUCAGCCGCGGCACGAGUAGGGUGCACCAUGCGCCCUGAUUCGACCGUUGUUGGCUUUGGGCGCACCUCCCCCACGGCCAGACGGGGCGAUGAUCGCAUCACGGCGCUCCGCAACUACAGGCGUGCCCGCGGGCUCUACUUCAAAUGUGGGGAGCGUUGGGGGCAACGCCACCAAUGUGCUGCCACGGUCCAAAUUCAUGUAGUUGAAGAGCUGUGGGAAAUGCUUCAAGCUAAAGUGGACGAUCGGCACCGGCAUGAAUCAGAUUCGGAAGAGGAACAACUUAUGUCAAUAUCCAAACUGGCCACAACGGGGGCAACGACACCCCACACCGUCAGAUUCCUGGGUGCGAUCGAAGGGCAUGAAGUUCUCAUACUUAUGGAUUCAGGGAGUUCUCAUAGUUUUAUCAGCGAGGCGGUGGCAGAGUUGAUUGUUGAACAGGUGUUGCCAAUGGAUCCAUUGUCAGUCAAAAUUGCAGAUGGGGGCAUCGACUGGUUGGAUCAGUGUGGACCAAUGUUGGUUGACUGGGCAGCCAAAACAUUGCAGUUUGACCGGGAGGGGGAGCAAAUUGUGUUGAAGGGGCCGCAACCGCAAGUCCAACAAGUGCAGCAGGCCACUUUGUCGCAGCUCCUCAAGAUGGAACAAGGCAACUCAAUUGCGCACAUCGUGAUGAUUUGUGCAGCAGAAGAGCUAGAAGGAAACGAGCGAGUGCCUCGAGUGAUACAACAUAUCCUCGAUGACUUUCAAUCAGUGUUUGCAGAACCGACCAAUGUACUUGAGCACAGAGAAUGGGAUCAUGCCAUCCCCCUCAUUGCAGGUGCAAACCCCAUCAACAUGCGUCCGUACAGAUACACACUGGAGCAAAAAGAUGAAAUAGAAGCACAAUUCACUAUUCAGUAUAAGGCGGGGCUAAUCAACAGAGCUGCGGAUGCGCUUUCUCGUCGCGCACCCGGACAGGAAACAGAAAUGGCAGCGAUCUCGGUGCGCAAGCCUACGUGGCUGGAAGCAAUCAAACAAAGCUAUCGGCAAGAUACCGCAGCUACUCAGCGCAUGACAAAGUUGGCGCUGGCUCCGGACAGUGACCCAGGAUUUUCCUUGCAAGACGACUCUUGGAAGGUUAUCUGUAAUUCUGACCUUAGAAUUUUUUUGAGGGGAUUUGCGCUUAGAUGGGUGGCUGGACCUCCGCGCGAGAGUGCCCCUGCUGCCGUCCUUCGUCCUUCGCCUGCUGCUCCUCCUCUCAACACUGUUGCUGCUCCUCUUCUUCUUUUCUUUCCUUUCUGCUCCAUGCCUGCCCAUCUUGCCCCCCUACUGAUCAAUGAAUUUGGCAGUCAACUGCCAACAUUCAAAAAAAAAAACUGCUGCUCCUCCCUCUUCCCACGUCCUUGCUGCUGCACUGCUUGCGCCCGACCUCUGCUCCUCCCCCUCGUCUCUUCUGCUGCUGCUCUUCCCUGCUGCCCUUCUCUCAAUCCCACGCUGCUGCUCCUUCUUCUCCUCAUCAGCCGAUCCCCUUUUCCCCAUCCUCUCCCUCUCUACUCCUAUCCCUAG